rnacentral:rRNA from 1 species
GACGAACGCUGGCGGCGUGCUUAACACAUGCAAGUCGAACGGUAACGCGGGGCAACCUGGCGACGAGUGGCGAACGGGUGAGUAAUGCAUCGGAACGUGCCCAGUAGUGGGGGAUAGCCCGGCGAAAGCCGGAUUAAUACCGCAUACGACCUACGGGUGAAAGCGGGGGACCGCAAGGCCUCGCGCUAUUGGAGCGGCCGAUGUCGGAUUAGCUAGUUGGUGGGGUAAAGGCCUACCAAGGCGACGAUCCGUAGCGGGUCUGAGAGGACGACCAGCCACAAGGGGACUGAGACACGGCCCAGACUCCUACGGGAGGCAGCAGUGGGGAAUUUUGGACAAUGGGCGCAAGCCUGAUCCAGCCAUGCCGCGCGCGGGAAGAAGGCCUUCGGGUUGUAAACCGCUUUUGUCAGGGAAGAAACGGUCUAGGCUAAUAACUUGGACUAAUGACGGUACCUGAAGAAUAAGCACCGGCUAACUACGUGCCAGCCGCCGCCGUAA